rnacentral:rRNA from 1 species
GAUGAACGCUGGCGGCGUGCCUAAUACAUGCAAGUCGAGCGAACAGAUGAGGAGCUUGCUCCUCUGACGUUAGCGGCGGACGGGUGAGUAACACGUGGAUAACCUACCUAUAAGACUGGGAUAACUUCGGGAAACCGGAGCUAAUACCGGAUAAUAUAUUGAACCGCAUGGUUCAAUAGUGAAAGACGGUUUUGCUGUCACUUAUAGAUGGAUCCGCGCCGCAUUAGCUAGUUGGUAAGGUAACGGCUUACCAAGGCAACGAUGCGUAGCCGACCUGAGAGGGUGAUCGGCCACACUGGAACUGACACACGGUCCAGACUCCUACGGGAGGCAGCAGUAGGGAAUCUUCCGCAAUGGGCGAAAGCUUGACGGAGCAACGCCGCGUGAGUGAUGAAGGUCUUCGGAUCGUAAAACUCUGUUAUUAGGGAAGAACAAAUGUGUAAGUAACUAUGCACGUCUUGACGGUACCUAAUCAGAAAGCCACGGCUAACUACGUG